AUACGAUUUUUACCUGCUUCAAUUUAAUUCCAACCUAUACUUCCCAAAAGGCUAUCAGAUUCCACAGUGAAACAGAACGAAAAUUAUAUCACUGCAUUUUGGCAUAUACUCAUACAUCUAGCACUACUAAACCACACAGAUCACUGCAUAGAAGAUCCAGUGUCUACAGGAAACUGUAGGCACCCCUGUAGCUUAAGCUGUAUGCACAUUCCAUAGCCACUACAUCCUCUUCAAAAGAGCAAUCUACUUUAAGCAAGAAUUAUUGCCGAUAAAAUGGCAAAGGAUAUUCAGAAAUCAUGAUGGAAUAUUUUCACAGAAUGAAGAAGCAUGUAGUAAGUUUUCUAGUAACAUAGCAAUACUUCUAAAGAUAUUUUGAAAGGUAUCAUAAUCAAAACCAGAAAGACACUUGCAAAUCUGCACCAUCUAGAGCGUCUACUUGCAUCAUCUAGAGCGUCUAAAGACAAGUCCAACUAGAGGUAGAUUCAUACAAAUAAUAACAAACGGAAAACAUGACAUCAGGACACAUGGCCGAGAUUCAAGAGCUAUUGUACAACUAUCAAAGGGGUGAAGGAUGAGGCCGCCGGCUACACAGGUUCUUGGAAGCACAAAAAUUUGAGCUUGGAAGUAUAUGGUGUCAGGGCAUGGCAAAUUUUGAUAGUAGGUAAAACCUUCAGAUAUGAUCCUGCUAAGGAAAACAUCAAGGUAGGCAAUGAUUUUUGAUGUCCUCAUUCAUCUGGUCAUCUGGUUUAGGCAAUGAGGCUUCAUCAAAGGUGGCAGUAGGCAGGCUUCAGGCUUCAGAUAUCUCGGCUGUGGUCCUGUUACAAGCUCUAGUAACCAUAACUUUUUCUCCGGGGGGCAGAGUU
rnacentral:misc_RNA from 1 species